rnacentral:rRNA from 1 species
GAUGAACGCUGGCGGCGUGCUUAAUACAUGCAAGUAGAACGGUAAAGCACGGCGUUUGUGGGGUGCGCAAGUGGCGAACAGGGGUGUAACACGCGAAGAACAUGCCCUUGAUAGUGGGGUAACUUCAGGGGAAUGGAGAGAAUACACGGCAUGAGCGCCUACGUCGUGGGGGGAGUUGGUGAGAGUCGGUGUUGGGGGAUGGACGCGCGGUUUAUCAGCGUGUUGGUGGGGUAGUGGAGUAACAAGGCGUUGACGCGUAGCCGGCCUGAGAGGGUGACAGGGCACAGUGGGACUGAGAUACGGCCCAGACUGCUACGGGAGGCAGCAGUGGGGAACAUUGCACAAUGGGCGGAAGCCGUAUGCAGCAACUCCGCGUGCUGGAUGACGGCCGUCGGGUUGGAACCCGCUUUCGCCUGUGACGAAGAGUGAGUGACGGUAAUGUGUAAAGAAGCACCGGCUAACUACGUG